AGCUUUCUGCAUCCGUGCUGAGAUUUCGUCACACAUUAGAAAACAAGGGAUAAUGAGACUUCCAAGAUAAGUGAAGCG
rnacentral:pre_miRNA from 1 species